CUGAAAACUCAGCUCAUCACUGAACACCUUUGCACUUGACAGACUGAAAAUAAUUUCUGAUACUGCGCAGUCCACAUGGUGGCGCUGUUGCUCUGUGCAAGUGCUGGAUCAGAAUAAGUAUUGGUCCUCUCAGCUCAUGAAAAACUUCACACUGCUUUCCUUUUCAUUCAUUCGUUCGAAUAAGUUGAGAUCUUUUACAGUGUAGAAAAUGAAUAUAAAUAAGACACAUAAAUGAGAAACUUGAAUCACUUAACAAUAAAAAUAUAAAAGCAAGUAGAAAACAAGAACAACUGGAAGUAAAAUAAGAUGAAACUGGAAAACCUGAAAGAUAAAAAUGAAUCCAGCAUCUCCUUGUUCUGCAGGUUAUUCCAGGAGAACAAUGAAUAAAACUGGAUUUUCCAACUUCAACCUGCAAGAUAAUCCAAACAUCUGAACAUAGAUGAACUGAACCACUGCUUUCUCUACAGUAACCUACAUGCCUGGAAAAAAAUGCAUGCAGAUCCACUUAGAAGAUAUUAAGACUAACAACUCUUCCAUUCAUACUGUGAGUAUAAAAUAUGGUUAAUUUGUGUGUCUGUUGUUGAAAACUCCUUUAGAAAACAAACGACUGGAAGAAAAUUGAAGCACAAAAGAUUUAGACAAAAAUCCUGCAAAUAUAAAAGUUUACAAAGUAUUAAACUGCGAAAGAAGUGGUUUUCCAAAGCUGUGUUAUUGGAAUGGAAGUGACAUCCCCAGUGACGGUUUUGUGCAACCAGAAGUGUAUUUAAUUCUUUGUACAUUACAGAGUUAACACUUAUAAAUGGCAGCAAAUGUCACAAACACACAACAACCAGGCUUCAGAUCAUCAUUUUAGAAGCUUGUGAUGUUUUAAUAUCCACAAAUCACAAAUGUUAAAUGUCUCUCUGUCAUAUUAGAUGUUCAAAGCAAUCAAUUUAACAUCAAUUUCAACAAAAGAAAGACAUUCUUAGAUAUGUAUGAAGAAUUUUACCACCUGGAAACUCAAAAAGACAUACACAAAAUGUGGAAAUCUGCCAUUUAAAAUAACUACGGGCAUCACUGCUCUUUGUCAAAGGCUGAAACAGGAAAAAAAAGUCAGUUUUGUUGGUCUUUAAACCUCCAGUAUGUCAGUGAGGUCAUUCAGAUGUUACACAAUCACUCAGUCCUUCAUGUGAAACACACUGACACUUCCAAAUGUGUUCAUCUGUAGUUUUUUCUCCGGUCUGCGGUCGUGUUUGUUGUCUGAGUGUUUAUCUGCAGCCAAAAUAAAGAUGCUUGUGAAACUCAGGCUGACUUCUCUGAACGGGACACGCUGUCUAGUCCGUCACUGUGAAUUUCCUGACGGAGUUUUGUCUGCCCCCGACCCUCCGACAACUUCAAAUCGUUCAGGUCCAGAACUGAUGCUGUGAAGAUACGAGUCUGAGCUCUGGGAGGCACAAAAACACAUCAGAGAGUAGAAAGACCAAAAUGCUUUGCUCCCUCUUUUUGCUGCCUCCUGGGGAUUCUCAGUCUGUCAUAAAUAAUAAGGUUGGAUGGUAACACAAUACAUGUAAUGUAAUCAGAUUACACUGAACAGGUAGCUAUAACGAGCCCAGAUGACAUUAGAGAAAUGUGGAAUCAAAUUAUAGUCACAUUCACAGAGUUUACAUGAUUAUAAUUUGUCUUCAAAAUGAUGAAACCUUUUAAACCUCAUCUAAGGUGACCAAACUCAUGUUUAUAGUCCUUUUUAUUAACAUUAUUGAAUGGAGAUUUUGAGUACGUUUAGUUUACAAAAGCAAAUUCUGUGCUUCGGUCUUUACUCUGAGGUCCUCCUGUAGCAUUUCUGGCUUUAAAUCUGUAUGAUUGAUGACUGAUUCAGCCCUUAAAGCCUUAAUUAAUGACCGAAGAGCUCUCCUGCUGCUCACUAGCAGAGUUAGAGGUAACAUUACUGUAAUCACAUUACAUUCAUCUGUAAUGGAGUUAGGCCAAUGUUCCUAAAUCACAUUAUAGCUACUAAUCAGUUUCAGUUAUGAGCCGGUUCCACCUUGAUGCUGUUAAAUGCCUUUUGGGCUGUUUUUAAAAGAAAUAUCUUCUGUAUAUCCUCCAUAUUAGGACAGUGAUAAGAUGAGGUACGAUACGAUACGAUACGAUAUAUGAUACGAUGAGAUAUGAUACGAUAUGAGAUGAGAUAAGAUACGAUACGAUGAGAUACGAUAAGAUACGAUACGAUACAAUGCGAUACGAUACAAUGUGAUAUGAUGGGAUGAGAUGAGAUACGAUGAGAUACUAUAUGAUAUGAUGAGAUACGAUGAGAUAUGAUACGAUGCGAUGAGAUACAAUGAGAUAUGAUAUGAUGAGAUGAGAUAAGAUACGUUACGAUGCGAUAUGAUGAGAUACGAUACAAUGCGAUAAGAUGAGAUGAGAUGAAAUGAGAUACGAUGAGAUGCGAUACGAUAAGAUACGAUACGAUAUGAUACAAUGAGAUGAGAUACGAUACAAUGAGAUACGAUACAAUGCAAUAUGAUGAGAUGAGAUGAAAUGAGACAUGAUGAGAUGAGAUACAAUAUGAUACAAUACAAUACAAUGAGAUGAGAUACCAUAUGAUAUGACGAGAUGAGGUACGAUACAAUACGAUGAGAUAAGAUAAGCCUCUGUUAAUCCUGAAGGAAUUUGAAUAGAAGACUAGAAUAGAAAGAAAUAAUACUGAGGGAGUAAAGUAAUAUUGCACAUGAAGAAAUAUUGCACUUAAUAUUGCAAUUAGGAUAUUACACAUGAUAAUGAGGGCAUAUGUAAGGUUAAACAUUAUAUGGUUAAGUGGGAAUUACAGGAUAAUGUAGGUGAUGUUGCAUAGGAGCACAAACAAAUAAAAUACUUUGCACAGGGAGCAAAUACGUAAAAAUAAUGCAUUACUGGAAAAAAAACUGACAAAUUUUGAUUAAUAUAUGAUUGUUUUUGAGUAAAUAUUCUCAAACUGCUCAAUGAUCAAUACUGGAAUUUAUCAUAAAGCUGUUUGGUGUCAACAAACAAAGUCUACAAAUCUUCCAGUUUCUGAUCAAAAUGUCCCUGAGGAAUCACCGCUGGCUUCUUCCUUCUCACUGUAUGAAGACACGAGAUUUCACAUUAGACUUUUCCUCAACGAAAAUGAUUCUUUCUAACAUGAUAGUUGAUGUUUUGUGCUGAUGAUCCAACCAGAACCUGAAGAGUUUCAUCCAAAUCUUACGAUGCUGCAGGUGGGAGUUACCAAAUAUCGUCUACACAGAUUACUACUUUCACCAACACUAAUGUCCUGUUUUAAAAGACUUUCCUGCAGCUGUGUGUUGGGUGUACAGUUGAGUCUGUGGGACACUCAGGGUUACAUCAGGCUAGUCUUUAAUAGCUGCCAGACAAGAUGAUUUGUCUUGGUCCCCUGCAGGCUGAAUGGGCUUUACCCUCAUUGUAAUUCAAUUAAAGGAGCCAUGUCAGAAUUAAAAUGCUCCCAAUCUGAUUCUCAUAUGGCGACUGUAUCUUUUCACAGGAUCCACGAACGGACCGUCCUGAAUAAAUUGUGUUUUAUUGUACAGUGGCCUUUAAAAACGCUGUGGAUGCCAGAGUGUGUUUGUGAGACACUGUGGCUGUCAGGGAGCUCUAAAUUUCUCAUUGUCUGUCCGUAAACCCACUGCUGGUUUGUACCGAUUUUAAAAGCAGAAAAUGUUAAUCCAGAUGUUGCUGAAGCUCUUUUUCUUCUGCUCAGAGGAGAACAGAUGCAGUGGGUCAGCAGUUCAGUCUGUAAACGCUUCAGAUCGAGUUCUUAUUGGAUCAUAAAUCGUCUUUUAUUCAGUGAGGAGACAAUAGAAGUUACCUGAGUCCAGUUUUUGAAGCACCUGUUGAGAAAUGUUGGAAAUAUUCUUAAAAACCAGCACUAAACUCAAAGCUGUGUCUUAGAUAUCUGAGUAUGAUGCAUGGAACUGUUGCUGAAGAACAUCUCUACUUUAAUUUGGAGGAAAUAUAAUCACACUGUGGUUAUUCUGUUUGCUUUUGGCCACUUUUUGAUGAUAGUUUCCAAGGUGUUGGGUGUUUUCUGACAUUUUAAGAUUGAUGCUGCUCAGGGUUGCCAAAAUGUCUGAACAUUUUUGGGCCUAAAAUUGACUAAAAUUACUCAAAAUUUGUCCAUAUUUGUUGAAAGUUGCCCAAAAUAACACAAAAUCUAUUGUUGUCCUGAAAUUUCUCAACAAAAUAAGUUAAAUUUCAGCAAUAUUAUGCCUCAGUUUAUCACCACGUGUGCAUUACAAUCUACAGAUCACAGAGUAUCAAAGGAACAAGACGUUUAGUCGUUUAGAACCGAACGAUAUAUUUUAUUUUAUGAUCAAAACAACUUGUCAAGAUCUAGAAAUAUACAGUUUUACUACUUUACAAUUCACAGUUAAUGUAUUUUGUGCAGUUUUUACAAAGUUGUCAUUGGACCCUCUGGAGGGCCGCUUUUUGGCCCACGACCUGCAUUUUUGACACCCCUGAUCAAUGUUCCUUUCAACACCAUUAGCUAACACAAUGUAGCAUUAGAACACAGGAGUGAUGGUUGCUGGAAAUGUUCCUCUGUACCCCUAUGGAGAUAUUCCAUUAAAAAUCAGCUGUUUCCAGCUACAAUAGUCAUUUACCACAUUAACAAUGUCUGCACUGGAUUUAUCAUUCAUUUAUUCUUAUCUUCAUUGGAAAAAAAUGCUUUUGUUUCAAAAAUGAGGACAUUUCUAAGUGACCCCAAACUUUUGAACGGUAGUACAAAAAACUAAAGUUGAAUUUAUUUGUGUUUGUCUUUUUUUACAAAAAUUGAAAAAACUUGGACCCAACGUGUACAACAUUUUCCCCACAGCUCGUAUCAAUACUAAAAAAAUAUAGUGACUAACCAGUAAACAACGACUGCAGUUUAUCCAAAACAAAAAAAGAAUCGGUGAAUUUUUGUCACAUGACUGUUGGUUGCAGGUGAGUCACUAUCUGCAGUCUGUGUUGACUGAUUUUUUGGACGACAUACUAAACUAUGACGUUUCACUGAUAUUUUGGACCACAUACUAAACGUUUUUGGCACAGCCACAGUUUAAGGCUGUGACCCUGCUCUCUCUCUCUCCUCCAGGUGUGAUGCAUCAGGUAAUCAGUGGACCGUGUGCAGGUGGAAACCAGCCAAUCAGUCACUCCGGCUCUCCUAUAAAACCUGACGUCACUCGUCGUAUGAUGCCGGACGGUCUUUGAGUCUCUACUUAGUUCUGUGAGCUGAACGUUCUGUGCCACCUUCCCAGUUCUUCCGGUGAUUCUGUUUUCCUUGUGUUUAGAGCUGACUUCUGCCUGCUUGUGGUUACCUGAUCCUCCGGGUUCCUUCGUCGACUGCCUGGCUGACUGUUCCUCCGUGGGUUCCGUUCUGCCUGAAGGAUUCUCCUGUCGUCAGUUCUCCCCUGGAAAAGCCUUGCCUCGUCGGACGUCUGUCCACCAGCCUUCCCCAGACGCCUUGCCACCACCACGGCGUCCACACACCGGACACCACAGACUGGGUGGUUGGACAGGAGAGAGCCUAUUCAAAUCCCUGUCAGUCGAUUAAGUCCUCUAGCCCUAGCAACAUCAGACUUAUCGUUUAUCUAAAUUCCAAUAUAUGUAUAUUUUGUAAAUUGGCCAUUUUUUGUAUGUUAGAGUUUACAAAGUUUUGCCUCUGUUGGUUAUUUCUGUCUGGGGUAGAAUAGCUUAUUGCUCUGGGCUUUCUGUGCAGAAUCCCUGUUAAACUAGGUUUUUGUUUUUGUAUUUUUUUUCCCCUGUUUGGUUGUUUUCCUGCCCAGGUGUUACUAGAAGUGGAUUAACCGUAGUCUGUUGUUUCAGUGCAUGUAAUUAGUCCUCCUAACCACUAGAGGUUAAGCGGAUAAGCGGAUUAGCUAGUACUUCCGUUUCCGGGAUCAGUUUCCGUUUAGAUUUGUAGUCCUUGUGGUGUUGUAAAUAAAUGCAUUACUAAACCGUU